rnacentral:rRNA from 1 species
UACAGAGGGUGCAAGCGUUGUUCGGAAUUAUUGGGCGUAAAGGGAGUGUAGGCGGUUUGUUAAGUCUUCUGUGAAAUCUACAGGCUUAGCCUGUAACGUGCAGAGGAAACUGACAGGCUUGAGUGUCGGAGAGGAUAGGGGAAUUCCCGGUGUAGAGGUGAAAUUCGUAGAGAUCGGGAGGAACACCAGUGGCGAAGGCGCCUAUCUGGCUGACAACUGACGCUGAGACUCGAAAGCAUGGGGAGCAAACAGG